CAGUAGCCGCGGGAAUACGGAGGGUGCAAGCGUUAAUCGGAAUUACUGGGCGUAAAGCGUGCGUAGGCGGUUCGUUAAGUCUGUUGUGAAAGCCCCGGGCUCAACCUGGGAAUGGCAAUGGAUACUGGCGAGCUAGAGUGUGUCAGAGGAUGGUGGAAUUCCCGGUGUAGCGGUGAAAUGCGUAGAGAUCGGGAGGAACAUCAGUGGCGAAGGCGGCCACCUGGGACAACACUGACGCUGAGGCACGAAAGCGUGGGGAGCAAACAGGAUUAGAUACCCCUGUAGUCCCUGUCUCUUAUAA
rnacentral:rRNA from 1 species